rnacentral:rRNA from 1 species
GAUGAACGCUAGCGGCAGGCUUAACACAUGCAAGUCAGGGGUAACAUAGAAAAGCUUGCUUUUCUGAUGACGACCGGCGCACGGGUGCGUAACACGUAUACAACCUACCUUUUAGCGGGGAAUAGCCCAGGGAAACUUGGAUUAAUGCCCCAUAGUAUAUAGACUUCUCCUGAAGUUUAUAUUAAACAUUUAUGGCUAUUAGAUGGGUAUGCGUCCUAUUAGUUAGUUGGUAAGGUAACGGCUUACCAAGGCAGCGAUAGGUAGGGGUCCUGAGAGGGAGAUCCCCACACUGGUACUGAGACACGGACCAGACUCCUACGGGAGGCAGCAGUGAGGAAUAUUGGACAAUGGGCGAGAGCCUGAUCCAGCCAUGCCGCGUGCAGGAAGACUGCCCUAUGGGUUGUAAACUGCUUUUACAGAGGAAGAACCACCCCCACGUGUGGGGGUUUGACGGUACUCUGCGAAUAAGGAUCGGCUAACUCCGUG